rnacentral:rRNA from 1 species
GAUGAACGCUGGCGGCGUGCUUAACACAUGCAAGUCGAACGGUGAACCCGGAGCUUGCUCUGUGGGAUCAGUGGCGAACGGGUGAGUAACACGUGAGCAACCUGCCCCUGACUCUGGGAUAAGCGCUGGAAACGGCGUCUAAUACUGGAUAUGUGACGUGACCGCAUGGUCUGCGUUUGGAAAGAUUGUUCGGUUGGGGAGGGGCUCGCGGCCUAUCAGCUUGUUGGUGGGGUAAUGGCUCACCAAGGCGUCGACGGGUAGCCGGCCUGGGAGGGUGACCGGCCACACUGGGAUUGAGACACGGCCCAGACUCCUACGGGAGGCAGCAGUGGGGAAUAUUGCACAAUGGGCGGAAGCCUGAUGCAGCAACGCCGCGUGAGGGAUGACGGCCUUCGGGUUGUAAACCUUUUUCAGCAGGGAAGAAGCGAAAGUGACGGUACCUGCAGAAAAAGCGCCGGCUAACUACGUG